GGGCCCGCACAAGCAGUGGAGCAUGUGGUUUAAUUCGAAGAUACGCGCAGAACCUUACCAACACUUGACAUGUUCGUCGCGACUCUAAGAGAUUAGAGUUCUUCGGUUCGGCCGGACGAAACACAGGUGCUGCAUGGCUGUCGUCAGCUCGUGUCGUGAGAUGUUGGUUAAGUCCCGCAACGAGCGCAACCCUCACUUUUAGUUGCCAUCAUUAAGUUGGGCACUCUGAAAGAACUGCCAGUGAUAAGCUGGAGGAAGGUGGGGAUGACGUCAAGUCCUCAUGGCCCUUACGUGUUGGGCUACACACGUGCUACAAUGGUAUCUACAACAGGAAGCAAAACUGCGAAGUUAGC
rnacentral:rRNA from 1 species